rnacentral:rRNA from 1 species
GAUGAACGCUGGCGGCGUGCCUAAUACAUGCAAGUCGAGCGAACAGACGAGGAGCUUGCUCCUCUGACGUUAGCGGCGGACGGGUGAGUAACACGUGGAUAACCUACCUAUAAGACUGGGAUAACUUCGGGAAACCGGAGCUAAUACCGGAUAAUAUAUUGAGCCGCAUGGUUCAAUAGUGAAAGACGGUUUUGCUGUCACUUAUAGAUGGAUCCGCGCCGCAUUAGCUAGUUGGUAAGGUAACGGCUUACCAAGGCAACGAUGCGUAGCCGACCUGAGAGGGUGAUCGGCCACACUGGAACUGAGACACGGUCCAGACUCCUACGGGAGGCAGCAGUAGGGAAUCUUCCGCAAUGGGCGAAAGCCUGACGGAGCAACGCCGCGUGAGUGAUGAAGGUCUUCGGAUCGUAAAACUCUGUUAUUAGGGAAGAACAAAUGUGUAAGUAACUAUGCACGUCUUGACGGUACCUAAUCAGAAAGCCACGGCUAACUACGU